UCUCGAAAACACACACUAGCAUAACCAGCAUUGUUGUGUUAGUGGAGUAGUUUGUGAUGGAUGCACGGGCCGCUGGUGUUUUCGUUGUGCUGCUUCUGUUCUUAGGAAAUCCAAUUUCAGCAGAUCAUUGCACCGUAGAAGAUCUGGGCGCGCUCUUUUGCAUCAAACCUCUUUGCGCGUUGGCUUGUGCUGACUCAGCGAAACAAAACCGUGGCUCUUACCAUGCCGCUCGGUGCGGUGGAAGCCAAUGCAAAUGCAAGAUUUGCUACACUGGGUGAAAUUAUUUAGAGUAACUGAACAAGUAAUGUUUUACUAUGUAUUCCAAAAAAUAAAUAUGGCAUUCCUAAAGCAGAAAUAAAUAAUUCAUUAUGUUAUGUUA